UGGGGAAUAUUGGACAAUGGGGGCAACCCUGAUCCAGCAAUGCCGCGUGUGUGAAGAAGGUCUUCGGAUUGUAAAGCACUUUCGACGGGGACGAUGAUGACGGUACCCGUAGAAGAAGCCCCGGCUAACUUCGUGCCAGCAGCCGCGGUAAUACGAAGGGGGCUAGCGUUGCUCGGAAUGACUGGGCGUAAAGGGCGUGUAGGCGGUUUACACAGUCAGAUGUGAAAUCCCCGGGCUUAACCUGGGAGCUGCAUUUGAUACGUGUAGACUAGAGUGUGAGAGAGGGUUGUGGAAUUCCCAGUGUAGAGGUGAAAUUCGUAGAUAUUGGGAAGAACACCGGUGGCGAAGGCGGCAACCUGGCUCAUGACUGACGCUGAGGCGCGAAAGCGUGGGGAGCAAACAGGAUUAGAUACCCUGGUAGUCCACGCUGUAAAACGAUGUGUGCUAGAUGUUGGGUAACUUUGUUAUUCAGUGUCGCAGUUAACGCGUUAAAGCACACCGCCU
rnacentral:rRNA from 1 species